rnacentral:rRNA from 1 species
AUUGAACGCUGGCGGCAGGCCUAACACAUGCAAGUCGAACGAGUGGCGGACGGGUGAGUAAUGUCUGGGAAACUGCCCGAUGGAGUGGGAUAACUACUGGAAACGGUAGCUAAUACCGCAUCCCAUCGGCUGUUCCCAGAUGUGAUUAGCUUGUAGGUGAGGUAAAGGAUCACCUAGGCGACGAUCCGUAGCUGGUCUGAGAGGAUGACAAGCCAAACUGGAACUGCGACACGGGCCAGACUCCGACGGGAGUCAGCAGUGGGGAAUAUUGCACAAUGGGCGCAAGACUGAGGCAGCCAUGCCGCGUGGAUGAAGAAGGCCUUCGGGUUGUAAAGUACGUUCAGCGGGGAGGAGUUACCCGCAGAAGAAGCACCGGCUAACUCCGUGCCAGCCGCCGAGGUAAUAC